rnacentral:rRNA from 1 species
UACGGAGGGAGCAAGCGUUACUCGGAAUUAUUGGGCGUAAAGGGCGCGUAGGCGAUUCGAUAAGUCUCAUGUGAAAUCCCAGGGCCUAACCCUGGAAUGGCAUGGGAUACUGUUGGAUUUGAGUUCCGGAGAGGAAGGCAGAAUUCCCGGUGUAGCGGUGAAAUGCGUAGAUAUCGGGAGGAAUACCAGUGGCGAAGGCGGCCGUCUGGACGGAUACUGACGCUGAGGCGCGAAAGCCAGGGGAGCAAACGGG